rnacentral:rRNA from 1 species
UGAGGAAUAUUGGUCAAUGGACGAGAGUCUGAACCAGCCAAGUAGCGUGAAGGAUGACUGCCCUAUGGGUUGUAAACUUUUUUUAUAUGGGAAUAAAGUAUUCCACGUGUGGGAUUUUGUAUGUACCAUAUGAAUAAGGAUCGGCUAACUCCGUGCCAGCAGCCGCGGUAAUACGGAGGAUCCGAGCGUUAUCCGGAUUUAUUGGGUUUAAAGGGAGCGUAGGUGGAUUGUUAAGUCAGUUGUGAAAGUUUGCGGCUCAACCGUAAAAUUGCAGUUGAAACUGGCAGUCUUGAGUACAGUAGAGGUGGGCGGAAUUCGUGGUGUAGCGGUGAAAUGCUUAGAUAUCACGAAGAACUCCGAUUGCGAAGGCAGCUCACUAGACUGCAACUGACACUGAUGCUCGAAAGUGUGGGUAUCAAACAGGAUUAGAUACCCUGGUAGUCCACACAGUAAACGAUGAAUACUCGCUGUUUGCGAUAUACAGUAAGCGGCCAAGCGAAAGCAUUAAGUAUUCCACCUGGGGAGUACGCCGGCAACGGUGAAACUCAAAGGAAUUGACGGGGGCCCGCACAAGCGGAGGAACAUGUGGUUUAAUUCGAUGAUACGCGAGGAACCUUACCCGGGCUUAAAUUGCAAAUGAAUAAUCUGGAAACAGGUUAGCCGCAAGGCAUUUGUGAAGGUGCUGCAUGGUUGUCGUCAGCUCGUGCCGUGAGGUGUCGGCUUAAGUGCCAUAACGAGCGCAACCCUUAUCUUUAGUUACUAACAGGUCAUGCUGAGGACUCUAGAGAGACUGCCGUCGUAAGAUGUGAGGAAGGUGGGGAUGACGUCAAAUCAGCACGGCCCUUACGUCCGGGGCUACACACGUGUUACAAUGGGGGGUACAGAAGGCAGCUACCUGGCGACAGGAUGCUAAUCCCAAAAACCUCUCUCAGUUCGGAUCGAAGUCUGCAACCCGACUUCGUGAAGCUGGAUUCGCUAGUAAUCGCGCAUCAGCCAUGGCGCGGUGAAUACGUUCCC